rnacentral:tRNA from 1 species
AAAAAAUUAGUUAAUAACAUAACAUAAAAUUGUCAAUUUUAAGUUACUAUUUUAAAUAGUAUUUUUUU